UACGUAGGGUGCAAGCGUUAAUCGGAAUUACUGGGCGUAAAGCGUGCGCAGCCGGUUGUGCAAGACCGAUGUGAAAUCCCCGGGCUCAACCUGGGAACUGCAUUUGUGACUGCAAGGCUAGAGUACGGCAGAGGGGGAUGGAAUUCCGCGUGUAGCAGUGAAAUGCGUAGAUAUGCGGAGGAACACCAAUGGCGAAGGCAAUCCCCUGGGCCUGUACUGACGCUCAUGCACGAAAGCGUGGGGAGCAAACAGG
rnacentral:rRNA from 1 species